GAAACGCGAUAGGUAUUGUGAAUCGCAGAAUUUAGUGAAUCAUCGAAUCUUUGAACGCACAUUGCGCCCGUCGGUAUUCCGGCGGGCACGCCCGUUCGAGCGUCACGCUAAACCCCUCGGGCCUUCGCGGCCCGGUGUUGAGGGAACCGCCUAGGGGCGGCCCCUCGAAAUCUAUUAGCUGCCCGACCUUAGCCCUAAGCGUAGUAAUCGUGCCUUAACCAGGCCUUCUUUGCGCGCGGGAUACGGGACGAGGCAUUGACCCCCUCUAGACGACCUCGAAUCGGGCGGGGAUACCCGCUGAACUUAA
rnacentral:misc_RNA from 1 species